rnacentral:lncRNA from 7 species
UGGGCAUGAUGAAAAGUGCAAAGUCUCCUUAAUUCUGUAUAUGGCUUUCUUAUCUGUCUUUCUCACUGUAACUAUGAACUACAAUAAGCUUACUUACUGGGGUUUUGUCGAGACGCUCAAAGUUCGUGUUUCAAAGUCUGUUGACAGCCUGUGUGAGCAGUGACUGUUUUGGCACUCGAGUGGAAGAAAAUAGAGAGAUUUAAAUGGAAGUGUCUGUAUAUAUUAAGAACUGCUAUACUUUAAAACUUCUUUUCCCCUGCAGUAGAAUAAGUUGUAAAACCUACACACUCUUGGCAGCUGAUAGGGGAAAAUAAAGGUGCUUAAACAGCAAUCAAAUGAAGAAAGGGCAUUUCACUGUUGCAGAGUUGGUAUUAUUUUAUAUUUCCAUUUAUGACACUUUUUAAAUUGUAUAAACCACAGAUUUGAAUUCUCAAAAGUCUUCAGCUUGGAUUUUGUGAGUAGUUUCAAUCCUCUCACCUCUCUGCUCAUAACUGGUUUUUAAGAGAAAUAAAAGCUUUUGUUUAAGAUG